GUGUGCUAUGUGAACAUCCCUGCUAUUGUUUAGCGACAAUGUUGGAUCUCUAGUAAUACAUUUUUUAUUGAAACCUUUCAUUUGUAGCCAUCACUGAAGUCUGAAAUGCGUGAUUUCAGAGGGCAUCUGUUAUGUCCUGUAUUUUGUGGAGAAUGUCAACGCACGGUGAGAGCAUGGAUUCCAGCUGAAUCACCUGCCACGUUUUCCCAUGGCAGCUCCAGGUGUUAGCAUGAGGGAAUCAUCCGAAUGCACCGCUCGCCGGAGUUGGAUGGCGGCCAUUUUAUUAUCAAGAGCUACGGGGAGGGGAAGGAGCAGCUCCAGGGAGAGGGGAACAUCAAGCGGGUGACCCCGACACCGUGGCUCCAUUUCGCCCACUACCUUCUGCCGUGCCUCCCUGCCACCGUAUGCCGCGCUUCCCAAAGACUGGCAGCCUUGUGCCAUCUGGCCCUCCUCUUCUGAUUCCCAGAACACAUAUUGGGAAUCCUAACAACCAAACCCCCUCCUCCCCUUCUCAGCCACACACACACACACACACACCUUCCUCCGGUUCCGUCUCUCGGCUCAAGCUGCCUAUCUCUGUGCCUUUGUGAGUUUGUGUGUGUAUGUGUGUGUGUGUGAUGCAUGUGCAUGCAUACAUGUGUAAACUCAUGCAGUGGAGCCCGCUCCCUAAGCGAUCCCAUUGCCCUUUCCCUCUCUAAUCCUCCCUGAUUGAUAUCCUGUAGGGGUCCGUGGAGGGCUGAAGAAACCAGAUACGGUUGUCGAGAUGAAGGAUCCCCCCGGUUCUGUUGCUCUGGUCGCAAAACCUUUUCAUUUGACUCAUCCGACUCGAUCAGCUUGCUCAGAUGAGUUCUAUUUCAAUCGGUUCGUCGUUACAAGCACGACACCGAAAUCACAUAUUUCCGGCUGAAAAGAGGUUUUUAGAUGAGGGUCUUUCUAAGUGGUUUCGUUCGCUGGGAUGUUGUAAACAGACUAUUCUAAUACCCCGUAGCACACAGGCCUCUGGGCGUCCUGUCUUCUGGCCCUCAUCACCUCCAGCAGGCAGAUGGGCAGAUGAUUCCAUAAUAAUCUGGGAAUCAAAGUGGACAGAGUGUCUGAGAGUCACAGAGGGUAAAACGGCACGGCAAGUGGUGGUCGUGCCAUUCAUUCAGUCCUCGGUGCCACACAAACCAGAUGGACAUGUCACCGACAUCUCCACAGAGCCCUGUCUACCCACCCGCCCCCCACCCCGGCCCCGGCACCCGGGGGAGAAUGAAAGGUAGGGCCGUGGGGAGACUGGUGGCGCCCCAAACAGUGCCACGUCCUAUCUGACGAACGGCCAUUCGCGGCGGACGGAAUCAAAGUGGCUGAAGCGCGAGGUGGCGUGGACCGUCUGGGGUUCUCAGUCGGACGGACGCCGUCGAAGAUCUGUGGUGCUGUCAAACGUAUACCAGCGGUACAGUACGUAUGGACUUAGGGUAGAAGUGGAGGCUCUUGGGGAUGUUGAGAUCCACUUUUGUAAGAGCAACAUGCCAGAUUCUGCUUAAAUAUUACAGCUGGGCUGAUUUCGUCCCGGAGAAGCUGUGAGACUCUGAUACUCUAAUCACAGAAAACCAGCAUUCGCUCAAUGUCACCGGCCAGUGAGCUGAAACCGGGCACCCCUCGCAGCCCAAAUCCCGCCGUUGGCGCCGCAACUGGAAACAGCCGGCACUGCGAUGGUCGGUCGGUGCCCGCAGUUGCUAAGUUACAGUCUGCAGAAUUACAUUCAGGUGGCUUACACAGCUGUGCUGUACCGUCGCGUGCCACGGCCAUCUGUGGCCUCGCUCCCAGCAUGCACCUGGAUACGGCGAGGCAGGAAUAGACGGCCGACCAAAGCCAACUCGUUGGACCCCUUACCGUGUGUGGCCACGAGAAGAAACCCUUUAAAGCUGGAAUCUGGGAUGUGGGUUUUAGGCAAAAUGGCAGCACCACCACUUCUGAGGAAUCUUUAACUGUUUUAUGAAAUGUUCACGUGUUAAUGUAGCCUAAUAUAGCCUUCAUGUGUUAAUAUUGCCUACAAAAACCAUGACAUGCUUUUCUUGCAAUUCAACGUGAUUUGUAUUGAAGGAUAUGUACAGAACAAUCACUUAUUUACAUACAUGAAUUACAUGAACGAAUGGGCUUUGUGGGCCUAUUAGCCUCUUACUGUGGCUGUGUCACAGAAUAGCUGGCCUACGGUGACAUGUCCUGGGUAAAAACAGCAUACUCAGGCCGGUGGGAAUUAAGAUCUCCCUUUCUCACACACAUACACACACACACCCCUCUGUGUGAAUGCUCGUCGUAACGAGUAAACUAUUGAGAUAAUGCCUGAUUGUUCCUUGAGAGCUUGCCUACAGGCACGUUAACCGCGGGUGCAGGAGAACCUCUCAUAGGUUCCCUCCCGUUCACUGUGAAUAGAUCAACCACCAACAAAGGCAUCGUUAGAAGCAGCUUAGGCCCCACCAGGCUUCGGCUAAUUAUGAAUGGGGGCCCGGUAGUAAUUCAAGUGAUUCAAGGGCGCUUGGUGCAGCUCGGCGUGGAAGGGGAGCACUCAGAUCCAGAGCUGUCGUACUCUUCCCAUCUGCCCUGCUUUUCAACCACCUGCCUAAAGACCUGAGCCAUGCUAACCACGGGGAAGUAGCUCCAUUCUGCAGGGCCAGGGCACAUAUGGGAAAGAUUCAGUUCGGGAAUGAAUUAUUCAGAAUCGCGGUCAAACCAUUUAUCAGUUGAUAUUGUGCAUUUUUUCAAACGGGUUUAAAGGAAGUAGGCUGAGGCUGUUAGUGAGUGGCUAAUAUUGCUAGCAGCCUUUUCAAACCUUGUAAAUUUUACGUCUGUAGGUUAACCUGAAUGGCUCACUCGGUGUACAGUAUUAUAACCUGAAAAAUGUACGUGCUACUGAGCGGAGUUGGGUUCACACAAAAAAAUGGAGGUAUGAAACAAGAACAGUUCUUUGAAGAAUGUACCCUCAAAGUUAUAAUUUUGGUCUUUAUGGGGACAGAAGAGAGCAUUUUGACAGAAAUGGUACAAAGUGAAUUAAAAAAGGAAAGAAAAAAAAGAAAGAACACUAAAGGGUACACAAUUGUCUCUCAAAAAGGUACACCCCCAGCGACAAGCAUUUGUACCCUUUUAAGUAGACACCGGUCCUCCUAUUUCUGAGUGUGUUUAGUACCAUUAAAAAUUCAGAAAAUUCAGUUGAAAUUCCAUUCCAUUCAGAAGCUCCAUUUAUUUUCCUGACUAUUUUUGUCUCGCAUGGAAUCGUUGAAAUCACUCCCUGGAAUCAACCGCCAGCCUGGGAAUCGGUCGUUAUCAUCAGCCAUGAAGAUUUUCAAUGCAUCCUUGAGCCCUUUUCACCAGGAGAUGGCAGUGCUCAUCUCUGAAUUGGCACACAAGUUCAGCCUGCCUGGGUCUCCAAAACAAGAGAAGAGUCAAGCAGUAACGAUGCAUCAAGUCCAAACCAACAGGAUCCUAAACAGCUUCUACCCACACAUCAUCACAAGACUGUUAAAGUGUUAAUCCCAUGGCUUGUCUUUUACCCCUUUUCUCAUAAUUUUGACUCAUUCUUGUCCUUUUUGUGUGUGACCAUAUUUAGCCUUGUUGUCUUAAUAUUAAAAUAGGCUUGAAAGUGAACAUUUUGUGGAAAGGUCUACAUUACAGGUCUACUUUACAGUAAGCAUGUAACAAAUAAAUAAAAACAAGUAUUUAUUCGA